GAAAAUGCUCAGGAUUUACUGAAGAUGCAAUAAAGGCAUGGUUUAAGAACGAAAAUUUUGUGGAAAUGGGAAAAUUCAAAACGAUUGCGAUCAAUCGUGGGAAAAAGAGCAAAGAAGAAGACCAAAAAUCGGGGAAACUAUUAAGCAGUAAAGCCAACUCGGAAGAAACUCUUGCAGACGAUUAUAAUGCUUUUUAUCAGCAAUUUAAUCU
rnacentral:rRNA from 1 species